UACGUAGGGGGCUAGCGUUGUCCGGAUUUAUUGGGCGUAAAGGGUGCGUAGGCGGCGCGGUAAGUCGGGUGUGAAAUCUCGGGGCUUAACUCCGAAACUGCAUUCGAUACUGCCGUGCUUGAGGACUGGAGAGGAGACUGGAAUUUACGGUGUAGCGGUGAAAUGCGUAGAUAUCGUAAGGAAGACCAGUGGCGAAGGCGGGUCUCUGGACAGUUCCUGACGCUGAGGCACGAAGGUCAGGGGAGCAAACGGG
rnacentral:rRNA from 1 species